GAGACUCUGUGCGCGUGCAUAUCAAUAAGCGGAGGAAAAGAAACUAACAAGGAUUCCCUUAGUAACGGCGAGUGAAGCGGGAAGAGCUCAAAUUUGAAAUCUUAAAGGUUUUCCCUUGACGAAUUGUAGUUUAAAGAAGUGUUUUCUGUUGGAGUUUCGGUAAAAGUUCUUUGGAAUAGGACAUCGAUAGAGGGUGAGAAUCCCGUAUUUGACCGUUACUUUCCAGCUGUGUGAUACACUUUCAAAGAGUCGGAUUGUUUGGGAAUGCAGUCCAAAGAUGGGUGGUAAAUUUCAUCUAAAGCUAAAUAUUGGCGAGAGACCGAUAGCGAACAAGUACCGUGAGGGAAAGAUGAAAAGAACUUUGAAAAGAGAGUUAAACAGUACGUGAAAUUGUCAAAAGGGAAGCGUUUGACACCAGUGUUGUUUAGUUGAAAAUCAAUUCAAUAGUUUUUGAUUCUAAGUAGUAUUGACUUCAUCAGCUUGCUGCUUUCUUCUCAGAAAUUAUUGAAUGCACUUUUCAGUUAACAAGUCAACAUCAAUUUCUUUUGUUGUAAAAGGGUAAGAGGAAGGUGGCUUGCGCUUCGGCUCAAGUGUUUAUAGCCUUUUAUCUCUGCAAUCGGAGAGAUUGAGGUCUGCAGCGUAGAUCCUUCGGGGUUAGAUACAUUGGUGCUAAGCUAUAGCCUUGUAUAGACAACUUGUUGACUAUGCUCAGUCAUGUAGCUUACUCGCUGAUGCUAUUUUACCUACGCUUAGGAUGUUGACAGCAGUAUAGACUGU
rnacentral:rRNA from 1 species